AUUGAACGCUAGCGGCAUGCCUUACACAUGCAAGUCGAACGAGUGGCGGACGGGUGAGUAAUAUAUCGGAACCUGCCUAGUAGCGGGGGAUAACUACUGGAAACAGUAGCUAAUACCGCAUACCAUCCGAUCUGCCCCUAUGGGAUUAGCUAGUUGGUGGGGUAAAGACUCACCAAGGCGACGAUCCCUAGCUGGUCUGAGAGGAUGACCAGACACACUGGAACUGAGACAAGGGCCAGACUCCGACGGGAGGCAGCAGUGGGGAAUAUUGGACAAUGGGGGAAACCAUGAGGCAGCCAUGCCGCGUGUAUGAUGAAGGCCUUCGGGUUGUAAAGUACUUUCAGCGGGGAGGCGUUAUCUGCAGAAGAAGCACCGGCUAACUACGUGCCAGCAGCCGCGGUAAUAC
rnacentral:rRNA from 1 species